CUAUUCACACGAGUUGACCUCGAAUCAGGUAGGAAUACCCGCUGAACUUAAGCAU
rnacentral:rRNA from 1 species